rnacentral:misc_RNA from 1 species
AAAAACCUAUAAUUUUAACAAGUAAUUUUUGUAACAAAAAUCAUUCUUCUGUUAAUAAAUCACAUUUAACCCAUAAAAAUGUAACGAAAAAACUGCUUUCGCUUGUAUACAGUAUUUUUAUUUUUGUGCUGAAGCAUCUGUUUAUUGAUUUUGUAGAUGCCUCACGUAGACAUAAAACUUGUUUUAACUGUUAUGCCAAAAACACUACAUACUAACAAACACCUUUUCUUGCAGUAACUAACCCCUCCGUUUUCAAUGCUUUUUAUUGUUCCUGUUUUACCUUCUUCCUUUGAUGGGCUGCAUGAUCAGAAUUCCCAUCCCGCUCCGCCGCCCACCACCUCCAUCCAAGAAACUAAGGAGGCCAGCACCACUACAACACCGCCCCCAUGCAUCAACCUUCACCUUCUCCUUCUCCACUGGAGGAAAGGAAAGGAGAUCCUAGAAUUUAUUUUCUUUCUGCCUUCUUCUUUUCUUGUAUUGUCUCUGGUGGAGUUUUUCUUGGUCUUUACAUUUUCCUUCCACCAGAUGAAACCCAACCCUGGUAUCCCAUUUCAGGGUUUAUUCUUGUGGCCAUUCCAUGGAUAUUUUGGUUCUUGACCUAUAUAUACAGAUGUAUCAGACCAAUACAUACCCAUUCUGAACCCUGCAAAUCCUUCCCAAGAUCCACAUCUACAGUUGCAGCAACAAACCCUUCAUCUAAUAAAUCUCAUUUAAAUUUCCUGAUGCCUUCCCCUAAUGACGUUGAACAUUCUGUUAAUGAGCAUUCUAAUGGCGGUGGACGCCAUGUACGUUUUGGACGUGUUAUUGUAAUUAGUGAAUAUGAUGAUUAUAAUCAUGAGAAUAAUAGCAAUAAUGAUGACCAUGAUAUACAUGAUGGUUCAGAAGCCGAGCACACAAGUAGCACCUCACCAUCUCAGGAAGAAGAGAAGAUGGUUGAUUCUAGGGAAAGUGAAAUACUAUUAACUUGCUCUGCUGGCUUAUCUUGAUACAAAAUAUGUGAAGGUGAUGAUGGUAUAUAUGAAGUUGAUAUUCAAUUUUCAGUUUCUCAUACAGUGCGUUUGCUUAGGCCAUUGAUUGUAAUUGGAUGAAGUGAAGGACACAUUGAGAGAAAGAAACGGCCCAUAAUCAGAAGGGGUGGCCUAGAAAGUCAUGUUCUCUUGGACCAGCAAGUGGGGAAAAAGAUUUGGGUUAGCAAAAUAGUGGCACAGAUUUUCUUGGAUGUAGGUUGUCAUGUGAUUUCAUGACAAUAGAAAAGGGAAAAUGAGAAACAUGUGUAAUUUGCAUGCCUUUAUUUGUCCGUCUUGUUUGCAAAAUAUUCGCAUGAAUUACUUGUCUGUGAUCAUGAUUGAUAUUUCCA